AGGGAUCAUUACCGAGUUCGUGCCCCGCUGCGGGGUAGAUCUCCCACCCUUGUGUAUCUUCGUACCUUUUCGUUGCUUUGGCGGGCCGCUCAGGCUUCGGCCUGGCCACCGGCUCCCCUGAAGGGGGCGGGUGCGCGCCUGCCAGAGGACCCCUCCAACUCUGUUUGUCAGUGUCGUCUGAGUACUAUAACCAAUCGUUAAAACUUUCAACAACGGAUCUCUUGGUUCUGGCAUCGAUGAAGAACGCAGCGAAAUGCGAUAAGUAAUGUGAAUUGCAGAAUUCAGUGAAUCAUCGAAUCUUUGAACGCACAUUGCGCCCCUUGGUAUUCCGAGGGGCAUGCCUGUUCGAGCGUCAUUUCAACCCCUCAAGCUCUGCUUGGUGUUGGGCCGCGCUGCUGCUCCGGCGGCGGGCCCUAAAAUCAGUUGGCGGUGCCGUCGCGGCUCCAAGCGUAGUAGCAAACCUCUCGCUCUGGAGACCCGGCGGUUGCCUGCCAGACAACCCCCCCCCGAAUUUUAUUCUCUCACGGUUGACCUCGGAUCAGGUAGGGAUACCCGCUGAACUUAA
rnacentral:rRNA from 1 species